rnacentral:rRNA from 1 species
UUUCCCGGUUGAUCCUGCCGGACCUGACUGCUAUCGGAUUGGUACUAAGCCAUGCGAGUCGUUGUAGCAAUACAAGGCGGACGGCUCAGUAACGCGUAGUCAACCUAACCUAUGGACGUGGAUAACCUCGGGAAACUGAGAAUAAACCGCGAUAGAUCAUUAUGCCUGGAAUGGCUUAUGGUUCAAACAAUUUAUUGCCGUAGGAUGGGACUGCGGCCUAUCAGCUUGUUGGUGAGGUAAUGGCCCACCAAGGCUAUAACAGGUACGGGCUCUGAGAGGAGAAGCCCGGAGAUGGGUACUGAGACACGGACCCAGGCCCUAUGGGGCGCAGCAGGCGAGAAACCUUAGCAAUGUGCGAAAGCACGACUAGGUUAAUCCGAGUGAUUUCUGUUGAAGAAAUCUUUUAUCAGUCAUAAAACCACAGAUGAAUAAGGGGUGGGCAAGUCUGGUGUCAGCCGCCGCGGUAAUACCAGCACCUCGAGUGGUCA